GCGGAGGAAAAGAAACCAACAGGGAUUGCCCCAGUACGGCGAGUGAAGCGGCAACAGCUCAAAUUUGAAAUCUGGCGCCCCCCCGCGGGCGCCCGAGUUGUAAUUUGCAGAGGAUGCUUUUGGCGAGGCGCCUUCCGAGUGCCCUGGAACGGGACGCCACAGAGGGUGAGAGCCCCGUCUGGUCGGCCGCCGAGCCUCUGUAAAGCUCCUUCGACGAGUCGAGUAGUUUGGGAAUGCUGCUCUAAUCGGGAGGUAUAUGUCUUCUAAAGCUAAAUACCGGCCAGAGACCGAUAGCGCACAAGUAGAGUGAUCGAAAGAUGAAAAGCACCUUGAAAAGAGGGUUAAACAGUACGUGAAAUUGUUGAAAGGGAAGCGCUCAUGACCAGACUUGGGCCCUGCGGAUCAGCCGGCGGUCCUCCGCCGGCGCACUCCGCCGGGCGCAGGCCAGCAUCAGCUCGCGCCGGGGGACAAAGGCGGCGGGAACGUGGCUCCCCCAGGGGAGUGUUAUAGCCCGCCGCGCAAUGCCCCGGGGGCGGACUGAGGCCCGCGCGCUCCUGCGCAUGGAUGCUGGCGUAAUGGUCAUUAACGACCCGUCUUG
rnacentral:rRNA from 1 species